rnacentral:rRNA from 1 species
GUGGGGAAUAUUGGACAAUGGGCGAAAGCCUGAUCCAGCCAUGCCGCGUGUGUGAAGAAGGUCUUCGGAUUGUAAAGCACUUUAAGUUGGGAGGAAGGGCAGUAAGUUAAUACCUUGCUGUUUUGACGUUACCGACAGAAUAAGCACCGGCUAACUUCGUGCCAGCAGCCGCGGUAAUACGAAGGGUGCAAGCGUUAAUCGGAAUUACUGGGCGUAAAGCGCGCGUAGGUGGUUUUGUAAGUUGGAGGUGAAAUCCCCGGGCUCAACCUGGGAACUGCCUCCAAAACUGCAUGACUAGAGUACGGUAGAGGGUAGUGGAAUUUCCUGUGUAGCGGUGAAAUGCGUAGAUAUAGGAAGGAACACCAGUGGCGAAGGCGACUACCUGGACUGAUACCGACACUGAGGUGCGAAAGCGUGGGGAGCAAACAGGAUUAGAAACCCUGGUAGUCC